UACUGCUGCCUCCCGUAGGAGUAGGGGGAAUCUUCCACAAUGGACGCAAGUCUGAUGGAGCAACGCCGCGUGAGUGAAGAAGGCUNUCGGGUCGUAAAACUCUGUUGUUGGAGAAGAAUGGUCGGCAGAGUAACUGUUGUCGGCNNGACGGUAUCCAACCAGAAAGCCACGGCUAACUACNUGCCAGCAGCCGCGGUAAUAC
rnacentral:rRNA from 1 species